rnacentral:snoRNA from 1 species
AGCACUAUAUUUAAACCUAUGGAUGGGAAAUUUCCCCACUCUGGAUUACGCUGUAGUGCAAAAAGAAUUCCUGGCUCUGUGUUGCACAGCUGAUUCAUGCCAUGGCUCCGUG